UUUUCAAAUAAACUUAAUUAACUUAUGCUUAUUUAGAAGCCAUAUAAGUAUAUUUAGAUACAGAAGCUAUAUAGGUUUGCUAGUUUAUUGUAUCGUUAUGGACACUUGGGCGCUAUAAGGAGGUAGCAAAUGGGGCUGUUUAUUUGGGAUCGCAAUCUUGUUGGAAAACAAAUUCUUUACCAAUAAGAGGAAGGGGAGCUUGAUUUAAUGGUUAAAAUGGUUGAAAAAUUUGCUAAACUUACCAUAUCGUUACUGAUUUGGCAAUAGCUCGUAUCUGACGUUUUUUUCAAAAUUGACGUUUUGGUAUCAUUGGAUUCGUAUUUUCAAGGAGAAUAUAAUUUAAUUGAGUCGUUUUAUGUAUAAUGCACCUAGAUCAAUAUGACAUCGAAAACGAGCACAUGCAAUGGUCAAUUUGGUUAAAAAUCCUUGUCAACAUGCACAAUAUAAUAAACUGUUUGAAGAUAAUUCCCCUGUGAAAAGUGAUGAGUUUAUGGCAUCUUUUAUUAAAGAUAAUGACAUCAAAAAUACUACAGCUAAAGUUUCCUGUUUUCCUGACAUUGAAGGAGUUGAAAAGUUUGACAUUUUACAAAAUGAUACAGCUAAAAAAAAAAUAUUAUUUUUCUUGUUUGGAUAUAGACAUUGAUGCUAUUGAAAUGUUUGAAAUUGUACAAACUGGUACAACUUGCAAUAAUGAUGGUGACUGUAACACAAUUAAUAUUUUAGAAACUUCAACAGCUGAGCUAACCAAGGUAAUGUCUAACAAACAAAAUUAAAAUAACCAUGACUUUUGUAUAUUGUGUAGAAAAUGAUUUGUUUUGAUUGUUAGUUUCUUACACAGAUUUGAAUGUAGAUGAUAUUGAAGUAAAUAGUGAUAUUACAAAUGACCCAAGUAAUAAGAAAAAUUUAAAGAAACGUCCUACUGCAAUGGAGAAUAGAAUGUUUGGCCAAAAUUAUAUUGGGUUUCGUAGAUUGGGAAAAAAUGUAUUUCAAGAUACUAAUAGAGAUUGUAGAAAAAUCAAGCCUCGCUGUAAUUCUACUGUUUGUAUUAAAUCAAAGGAAUGCAAUAAACUAACUGAGGAAGACAGAUUGAAUUUGUUUAAUUGCUUUUGGGCAACAACUUGGGACAAAAAAAAGACUUACAUUAUAAAUUUAGUAACAAAAGAAGAUACCAAGAGAAAGAAUACAGGAAAAUAUGAAGUAAAAAAUGGACGAUCUUCAUCAUACCAGUAUGAUUUAAGAGAUAUUAAUGAAACAAAAACUCGUGUAUGUAAAAAAAUGUUUUUGGCAACAUUAGAUUUAACGAAUGGAUCGUUCACAACUGGGUAAAAAAAUCUAAUAACCUAAAGUAUAUAAAAAAAAUGUCAAAAAUAAAGAUCCUCAAACUAAUGAACAAAUGAACAAAAUUGCAUUUACAGUAAAGUAUGAUCAUUUUAUUAAGUGGUUUGAUAAACUUCCAAAAAUAAAAAGCCACUAUUGUAGAAAAAGAACUAAACGGCUUUACUUAUAAGGACCAUUUGAAUCAAAGCAACAAUUAUACAGCUUAUAUGUCCAAGAAGCGAAACAUGUAAAAUAUACACCAGUAAGUAGAGCAUGCUUUAACAAAUUUAUAAAUCAAAAAAAUAUUCCAUCUUUAAACCCAGGAAAGAUCAAUGUGAUCUGUGCUGUUCAUAUAAAACAAAUCAAGUAACAGAAAAUGAGUAUCAGGAACACAUAUUAAAUAAAGAUCUAGCCAGAGAACAAUUAGAAAGUGAUACUGAAAAAGCAAAUAACCAAGAAAACUACACUUUCAAUAUGGACUUUCAGGCAGUUAAAUUGUGUCCAGCCAUGAAUGCUAGUGCAUUAUAUUACUCAAUGAAGCUCAAAGUUCACAACUUCACAAUAUAUAAUGUAAACAACGAACACCAAUGUCACAACUAUUGGUGGAAUAAAUGUGAGGGAGAGUUAGAUGCAUCAGUUUUUGUGAGUAUUCUGUUAUCUCAUCUUGAAACCUAUUGUAUUAAUAUUGACCA